CCCAGGGACACAACAUGAGGAUUUGCUCUGGAAUGACUGGGCUGCCUCCAACUGCAAAUGGCUUCACUAUGUCAACUGUUCACGUGUGCCUCUAGGAGUCUCCAGCCAGCACCCAAGGAAAUUGUGUGCGCCCAACCACCUGCCAGGGGCCUCACCAGGCAAGGAGCUCACGCACAGGCCCAUGCAGAGGGCCCUUGCAUUCACACAAAGCACGUUCUCACGCAGAUCAAAGCUUCACUAACAAGACGCUACGGUGCUGGGAGUGAUGAUCACCAUAUGUACGCUAUUAGAGAUUCUCCUCAUUUAAAUUGAAAAAACGGAAGUUUUGAAGAACCAUGCAUGUUUGUGAAAGCACUUCUCCAUUCUGAAGUCACCGUGGAGAAAUACUAUGGGGACCAGCAGUUUUAAAUUUUCUAUCUGGGGUCACUGCAUAGGUUUUCCACAAAGAGAUUGUUGAAAUCUUCAAUCAAACAAUUCAGAGAAGAAAUUUUCUGAAAUGCCUGGUAGCACCUCCUUCAAGAGUUUAUCUCCUUUCAGAAGUAAUAGCCCUCACAGAAGCUGAAGCUGAGCACACCUAGUGAAAAAUACACAGCCCGAUGACUGCUCUCCCUGGAAAACCGUGACAUGAACCCGUUCCCUGAAGCCCUAAUUGUUUUAUUUUCCAACCUCUUUAAUGUCCUCCCAUUUCUCGGGUGACUGUCUCAGAACUUCAAAUCAUUUUAUAGACACGUUUUCUCCAUGUGGCAGGAAAAACGACAGCCAGAACCCCACUAAGUAAACAGCUUCCUUUCUUAACCACUGUGAUCCCUCCCCACAAUCCCUCCCCCGGGAAGAGGGAUUAUUUCCCUGCUGAUGUCCUUGGUUCCGAUUUUGGUCUGUUUCUUGUUUUUAACCAAUGGUGUGGAAAGCUGCGUGCUGUGCUGGCUAGGCCCCUGCCGUGCACCCCUGCCUCCCAGGGCCAGCAGGCGUUUGGGGCUCAUCAGCUGUCAGAGGAAUGAGGCCAGCGCAGCUGAUAAAAUCUCUUCCUAAUGAUACACGGAGGAACCCGUCUUCCACUCUGUAUAAAAAAGAUAGUAGGGAGAUAAUGUCCCUCAUGAAACAGGACUCAGAGACAAAAUGUUAAGCAUUUGUACCUGCGUGGGCAGGGACCAGUGGACAAGAACGUUGCCUAAUCAGAAGCACGUGGUCAAAAAUGGAAACCGGGGCGGAGUUGAAUACUGAUAGAGACCCUCUGGCAAAUACCGCAUACUUGCUAUCCGGACUCAUACAGAGAAGGUUACUGGCCUCAGCUGAAUACCAAUUUGGAAUAAGUUGGCAUCUUAACAAUAAGUAGUCUUCCAACCCAUGAACAAGGUCUAUCUCUCCAUUUAUUUAUGCUUUCCACUUGUCAGCGCUAUUUUAUAUUUUUCUCUGUUCCACGUAUUCCUGAAGAUUGCAUUCACAGUGUUUGCAUCCAUGUUCUGUUGGUUAGGAAUCUGCAGUUUUCUUUUCCUGUAAUAUAUUUUUAUAACUUUGGCCAAAGUAAUGCUGGCCUCAUAGAAGCUUCCCUAAAUGUCAGUUGGGAAGAGUUGGUUCACUGUGCUCAGUACUUCUGUCCUGGUGCUCGUUUUGUUUUUGUUUUGUUUUGUUUUGUUUUGUUUUUUUGUCUAAUAGAUUGAUCCACCAGUACCAGGAAUUUCACUUUUUCUGAGAUAGAUGUGUUCAAGUUUCUGAGUAUAAUUGUUGGGGACUUCUCUGUGAUUUAUUGAGGGAGAACUAUUAAAAUCCUCAUCUAUAUCAUUACUGUGUGACAAAGGAUCAAUAUUAAGUCACUAUACCAGUAAUUCAGGGACAUGGUUAAAAUUCAUUUGUUGUGUUGCUUUAUUUCUCCGAAGAAAUAAAGCAUUUCUUUUCCGAA